CGGGACGUGGCGCAGCCUGGUAGCGCGCUUGCUUGGGGUGCAAGAGGUCCGGGGUUCAAAUCCCCGCGUCCCGACCA
rnacentral:tRNA from 1 species